rnacentral:rRNA from 1 species
UACGUAGGGUGCGAGCGUUGUCCGGAAUUAUUGGGCGUAAAGGGCUCGUAGGCGGUUUGUCGCGUCGGGAGUGAAAACACCGGGCUUAACUCGGUGCUUGCUUUCGAUACGGGCAGACUAGAGGCAUGCAGGGGAGAACGGAAUUCCUGGUGUAGCGGUGAAAUGCGCAGAUAUCAGGAGGAACACCGGUGGCGAAGGCGGUUCUCUGGGCAUGUCCUGACGCUGAGGCGCGAAAGCGUGGGGAGCAAACAGG